AGAAGAACCUGCGCACACAAUCGGUAAAAAGGAUUUCUACUGGCGGUCUUCCAUCCCACUAGAGGCUUAUGCGCUGUAAGCGAAUUUGCGCGUCAAAUUCUUCCCUUCCUAGAUUAAUCCCACUCUGCCCACCACUGUCUGAAGGAGGCCGGAGGGGCCUCCUCUGAUCUGAUAGAGAUGUAAGACAAGCAACCGUGCAGGACAUGGGGGGGAUUGGGUGUAAGCCAAUCCGACAGAUCUGGCACUCUGUGAAAUCUGUGUUUAGAGAGAAUUUAGAAGUAAGAUAGGCUUAUAAUGCCAAUCUGAAUGGUGCUCUGGAAGACGU
rnacentral:rRNA from 1 species